rnacentral:lncRNA from 7 species
ACCCCAUGGGCGCCAUUGCCUCCGAUGGAAUCGCCAGCAGGAGCUAUGGGGCAGGGACAUCCGCCGCCGCCGUGGCACCAUGGUCAUUGCGAUUCGCUAGCGUCUGAUUGAGGGUCGUGGCCUAGUGAUCUUCGCAAAGGCACGCGGAUGGUUAUCAUGCCCUCACCAUGCGGUUCUGGGGCCGAAGCGGUGAGGAAUUGUCAAGACGCACCCCUCCAUGGUCGAAGGUCGCUUCGGCAGGAACUUUGGUCAAGAGCAGGUACCACAGGAUGAGGCGCUUUGAGGAUGCUAUGAUGUGUUCGUGAGAGGUCUAGGCCGUCGUCUCCCAGUCAACUUUGGGUUGUUGGACCGUUGUCUCUUAUAAUGUAAUUAUUUAUUUAUUUUGUACAGAACUCCUAUUAUUUAGUAAAUAUGUGACAUUCGAUCCUAUGCCAUGAUUCAUCAUAUGUGUGAGACUUGGUCCCAGCACACCUGGUGAUUAUGUUCGCGCCCGGGUCUUAGUGCCCCUGACACCCGGGUGUGACACAACUCUUGUUGAAGGAACCCAUUUAAGAGUGAGGAAGAGCCUUUGCCUAGUGAGGGACUUGAGAAUUGAUAGGCACUUGACUAGCAGCCUCAUAGCACAUUAAGAGUAGCUUGUGGGCAUUCACCACCCUUAUUAGACUUGGUAAAGUCAAGUGAGAAUUAGUGCUU